rnacentral:rRNA from 1 species
AAGGAAUAUUGGUCAAUGGACGCAAGUCUGAACCAGCCAUGCCGCGUGGAGGAUGAAGGUCCUCUGGAUUGUAAACUUCUUUUAUCUGGGACGAAACACUUCUUUUCUAAGAGGCCUGACGGUACCAGAUGAAUAAGCACCGGCUAACUCCGUGCCAGCGGCCGCGGUAAUACGGAGGGUGCAAGCGUUAUCCGGAUUCACUGGGUUUAAAGGGUGCGUAGGUGGGUAUGUAAGUCAGUGGUGAAAUCCCCGAGCUUAACUUGGGAACUGCCAUUGAUACUAUAUAUCUUGAAUACCGUAGAGGUAAGCGGAAUAUGUCAUGUAGCGGUGAAAUGCUUAGAUAUGACGUGGAACACCAAUUGCGAAGGCAGCUUACUAUGCGGUGAUUGACACUGAGGCACGAAAGCGUGGGUAGCAAACA